ACGCUCGACACCUACGGGGGGCAGCAGUGGAGGAAUAUUGGUCAAUGGGCGCUAGCCUGAACCAGCCAAGUAGCGUGAAGGAUGAAGGCUCUAUGGGUCGUAAACUUCUUUUAUAUAAGAAUAAAGUGCAGUAUGUAUACUGUUUUGUAUGUAUUAUAUGAAUAAGGAUCGGCUAACUCCGUGCCAGCAGCCGCGGUAAUCUGAGCGGGCUGGCAAGGC
rnacentral:rRNA from 1 species